rnacentral:rRNA from 1 species
UACGUAGGGUGCGAGCGUUAAUCGGAAUUACUGGGCGUAAAGCGUGCGCAGGCGGUUUUGUAAGACAGGCGUGAAAUCCCCGGGCUUAACCUGGGAAUUGCGUUGGAGACUGCAAGGCUGGAGUCUGGCAGAGGGGGGUAGAAUUCCACGUGUAGCAGUGAAAUGCGUAGAGAUGUGGAGGAACACCGAUGGCGAAGGCAGCCCCCUGGGUCAAGACUGACGCUCAUGCACGAAAGCGUGGGGAGCAAACAGG